CAGUAGCCGCGGUAAUACGAAGGUCCCGAGCGUUGUUCGGAAUCACUGGGCGUAAAGGGAGCGUAGGCGGCGUGGUAAGUCAGAUGUGAAAUCCCGGGGCUCAACCCCGGAACUGCAUCCGAUACUGCCGUGCUAGAGGAUUGGAGAGGUAGCUGGUAUUCUUGGUGUAGCAGUGAAAUGCGUGGAGAUCAAGAGGAACACUCGUGGCGAAAGCGAGCUACUGGACAAUAUCUGACGCUGAGGCUCGAAGGCCAGGGUAGCGAAAGGGAUUAGAGACCCCCGUAGUCCCUGUCUCUUAUAC
rnacentral:rRNA from 1 species